GCAGAACUGAGGACUGUUUUAUGGAGAUACAAACUGGACUCUCAGGACAAAACGACACCAGCCAAACCAGCAGCCCCUCAGCAUCCAGCAACAUAAGCGGAGGCAUUUUCCUUUUCUUCGUGGCCAAUGCCAUAAUCCACCUCUUCUGCUUCAGUUGAGGUGACACGUCUCAGCCUUAGCCCUGUGCCCCCUGAAACAGCUGCCACCAUCACUCGCAAGAGAAUCCCCUCCAUCUUUGGGAGGGGUUGAUGCCAGACAUCACCAGGUUGUAGAAGUUGACAGGCAGUGCCAUGGGGGCAACAGCCAAAAUAGGGGGGUAAUGAUGUAGGGGCCAAGCAGUGCCCAGCUGGGGGUCAAUAAAGUUACCCUUGUACUUGCA
rnacentral:lncRNA from 1 species